AGGCAGUUCUGCUCAGAAGCUUCCAUCUUUGCACCUUAAGUCCAAAAGCAACUCUUAAUGUGAGGCCUUGUGAAAUCUCAUAUAGCUUAGCAUCAUCAUGUCCCUGAGCCUAUCCAUUCUUGAAAUGUCUCUGGGAUAUAGUCUAACCACUACUGAAAGUCUUUUUUCUGGACCAUUAUGUCUCACAAAUAUUAUGUCUCACAAAUUUCUGAUGGCAGUUAGCUCAUAUCAGAGGUUCUAAAGACUGCUGAACAGUACCACUUGGCAUCAGGGAUACCACGUGUGUCCACAUCUGUAGUGGAAGUGGAGUCAGCCAUACCCAACCAUAUCAAAUGGGUUCUCCAAAGGAAAGCAGAUUUUGUUACCAGAAAGAGGAAAAUUUGCCGAGCGACCCCCAACAGAGAUACCCUUCCACCAUGUGUGGUUGGCAGUGAUGUUAGAGACGGGAGAGGAUAAAAAGCCACAGAAAAUAGGCUGGAGGAGAAGAAUUCAAACCAUAAGUCGUCACCUUGCCAGGAAUGGACGAGACUCUGGAGUCUCUGAAUUGUCUUGGAUGCUGGUGAAGAUACUACACCAUGUGGGAAGAGGAGGCAAUCAAAUUCAGCUGAGUCGUCAGGUUGUGUGGACUUCCUUUUCUGCCCUCCCAUCUCUGAGAACCAGCCUCAAAAUAUGAGCAACCUGUGCCACGGCCUAUGGUGGGC
rnacentral:lncRNA from 1 species